GAUAUGAACCGUUAUAACCGGCGAUACCCGAAUGGGGAAACCCAGUGUGACUCGUCACACUAUCAUUAACUGAAUCCAUAGGUUAAUGAGGCGAACCGGGGGAACUGAAACAUCUAAGUACCCCGAGGAAAAGAAAUCAACCGAGAUUCCCCCAGUAGCGGCGAGCGAACGGGGAGGAGCCCAGAGCCUGAAUCAGCAUGUGUGUUAGUGGAAGCGUCUGGAAAGGCGCGCGAUACAGGGUGACAGCCCCGUACACAAAAGCGCAUGUGCUGUGAGCUCGAUGAGUAGGGCGGGACACGUGGUAUCCUGUCUGAAUAUGGGGGGACCAUCCUCCAAGGCUAAAUACUCCUGACUGACCGAUAGUGAACCAGUACCGUGAGGGAAAGGCGAAAAGAACCCCGGCGAGGGGAGUGAAAAAGAACCUGAAACCGUGUACGUACAAGCAGUGGGAGCCCCACCACCAAAGCAUUUGCUGUACCGCGUUGACGGAGCGAAGCGACGUCAAACCGAUAAAACAGCAGUGUAAAGUGAGCCGCAGGGCGCUUUGCGCGACAGCGCAAAGGCAGGCGGUUUCGCGUAGCGAAAGCGAAUGCUUUGGGGUGGGGUGACUGCGUACCUUUUGUAUAAUGGGUCAGCGACUUAUAUUCUGUAGCAAGGUUAACCGAAUAGGGGAGCCGGAGGGAAACCGAGUCUUAAUUGGGCGUUAAGUUGCAGGGUAUAGACCCGAAACCCGGUGAUCUAGCCAUGGGCAGGUUGAAGGUUGGGUAACACUAACUGGAGGACCGAACCGACUAAUGUUGAAAAAUUAGCGGAUGACCUGUGGCUGGGGGUGAAAGGCCAAUCAAACCGGGAGAUAGCUGGUUCUCCCCGAAAGCUAUUUAGGUAGCGCCUCGUGAAUUCAUCUCCGGGGGUAGAGCACUGUUUCGGCUAGGGGGCCAUCCCGGCUUACCAACCCGAUGCAAACUGCGAAUACCGGAGAAUGUUAUCACGGGAGACACACGGCGGGUGCUAACGUCCGUCGUGAAGAGGGAAACAACCCAGACCGCCAGCUAAGGUCCCAAAGUCAUGGUUAAGUGGGAAACGAUGUGGGAAGGCCCAGACAGCCAGGAUGUUGGCUUAGAAGCAGCCAUCAUUUAAAGAAAGCGUAAUAGCUCACUGGUCGAGUCGGCCUGCGCGGAAGAUGUAACGGGGCUAAACCAUGCACCGAAGCUGCGGCAGCGACACUGUGUGUUGUUGGGUAGGGGAGCGUUCUGUAAGCCUGUGAAGGUGUGUCGUGAGGCAUGCUGGAGGUAUCAGAAGUGCGAAUGCUGACAUAAGUAACGAUAAAGCGGGUGAAAAGCCCGCUCGCCGGAAGACCAAGGGUUCCUGUCCAACGUUAAUCGGGGCAGGGUGAGUCGACCCCUAAGGCGAGGCCGAAAGGCGUAGUCGAUGGGAAACGGGUUAAUAUUCCCGUACUUGGUGUUACUGCGAAGGGGGGACGGAGAAGGCUAUGUUGGCCGGG
rnacentral:rRNA from 1 species